rnacentral:lncRNA from 1 species
UCAUACGCAAAUGGGCAUGAGGUUGAUAUUUUGGUUCUCUCUAUUGUUACGCGUAUAGGUCCUAUUGGGGAUGAGUGGUCAUACGUGUAUGAGCUCCCUUAUACGCGUAUGGGCAGAAGAUGUGCAAAAAAAUCUUUUUUUCUUCUACCCAUCCAUUUUUGUGAGGAUUCUCCUCUAAUCAAUGUCCUUUUGAUUCUUCA